GACAGGGAUUUUCACAGUGCUUUUCUAUACAAUGUCUGUAAUCUAUAGAUAACAUAACCAAUUAGGUCAGGGGUUGAUCUUUAACUACCAGGCCCAGGGUGUGGCACUGGGUUGUCUGCUUGUGGAUUUCAUUUCUGCCUUUUAGUUUUUACUUCUUUCUUUGGAGGCAAAAAUUGGGUAUAAGACAAUAUGAGGGGUGGUCUCCUCCCUUAAACCUGGUGGAAUGCAACUGAAGGAGAAGGAUUGGAGAUCUGCACUUAUCAAAACAGCAAAUCAACAAAAAGUUUAUGGUUCCAGUAUUAACCACAAAUCAUGAUGACAUUCACAACAGUUGCACCUGGUGGCUGAGGGACAUUUUAUAGAAUUAAGUUAUUUAUGUUACUUCUAGACAUAACAUGAAUUGUGAUACCAGCUCAACUAGCUGAAAAUUGAACACGGGAAUUAUGAGUAGUUUGAAUUGUAUUAACAUACACAAUAAGAUUUAUGUAAAUUUUUAAAAAUUAAAUAAAAACCUUAAAUAUUCAAUUUUAAAUUUUUAUGUUUUAUAAUUUUAAUAACUAAUGUUGAAUAUUUC
rnacentral:lncRNA from 10 species